rnacentral:tRNA from 1 species
GCCGAGGUGGCGGAAUUGGUAAACGCGCGACACUUAAGAUGUCGUGAUCGCAAGAUCAUGAGGGUUCGAGUCCCUCCCUCGGUA